rnacentral:tRNA from 1 species
ACCUGGCUGGCUCAGUCGGUGGGGCAUGUGACUCUUGAUCUCAGGGUUGUGAGUUCAAGCCCCACGCUGGGCG